UUGCCUACGGGCUGCUGCAGUGGGGAAUAUUGGGCAAUGGGCGCAAGCCUGACCCAGCAACGCCGCGUGAGGGAAGAAGGCUUUCGGGUUGUAAACCUCUGUCCUUGGUGACGAAACAAAUGACGGUAGCCAAGGAGGAAGCCCCGGCUAACUACGUGCCAGCAGCCGCGGUAAUACGUAGGGGGCGAGCGUUGUCCGGAAUUACUGGGCGUAAAGGGUGCGUAGGUGGCCUUUUAAGUUGGAUGUGAAAUACCCGGGCUUAACUUGGGGGGUGCAUCUAAUACUGGAGGGCUAGAGUGCAGGAGAGGAAAGCGGAAUUCCUAGUGUAGCGGUGAAAUGCGUAGAUAUUAGGAGGAACACCAGUGGCGAAGGCGGCUUUCUGGACUGUAACUGACACUGAGGCACGAAAGCGUGGGGAGCAAACAGGAUUAGAUACCCUUGUAGUCUU
rnacentral:rRNA from 1 species